GAUGAACGCUGGCGGCGUGCCUAACACAUGCAAGUCGAGCGAUUCUCUUCGGAGAAGAGCGGCGGACGGGUGAGUAACGCGUGGGUAACCUGCCCUGUACACACGGAUAACAUACCGAAAGGUAUGCUAAUACGGGAUAACAUAUUUUAGUCGCAUGGCUGAAAUAUCAAAGCUCCGGCGGUACAGGAUGGACCCGCGUCUGAUUAGCUAGUUGGUGAGGUAAUGGCUCACCAAGGCGACGAUCAGUAGCCGACCUGAGAGGGCGAUCGGCCACAUUGGAACUGAGACACGGUCCAAACUCCUACGGGAGGCAGCAGUGGGGAAUAUUGCACAAUGGGCGAAAGCCUGAUGCAGCAACGCCGCGUGAGCGAUGAAGGCCUUCGGGUCGUAAAGCUCUGUCCUCAAGGAAGAUAAUGACGGUACUUGAGGAGGAAGCCCCGGCUAACUACGUGCCAGCAGCCGCCGUAAAAC
rnacentral:rRNA from 1 species